GACGAACGCUGGCGGCGUGCCUAAUACAUGCAAGUUGAGCGCUGAAGGUUGGUACUUGUCCCAACUGGAUGAGCAGCGAACGGGUGAGUAACGCGUGGGGAAUCUGCCUUUGAGCGGGGGACAACAUUUGGAAACGAAUGCUAAUACCGCAUAAAAACUUUAAACACAAGUUUUAAGUUUGAAAGAUGCAAUUGCAUCACUCAAAGAUGAUCCCGCGUUGUAUUAGCUAGUUGGUGAGGUAAAGGCUCACCAAGGCGAUGAUGCAUAGCCGACCUGAGAGGGUGAUCGGCCACAUUGGGACUGAGACACGGCCCAAACUCCUACGGGAGGCAGCAGUAGGGAAUCUUCGGCAAUGGACGAAAGUCUGACCGAGCAACGCCGCGUGAGUGAAGAAGGUUUUCGGAUCGUAAAACUCUGUUGGUAGAGAAGAACGUUGGUGAGAGUGGAAAGCUCAUCAAGUGACGGUAACUACCCAGAAAGGGACGGCUAACUACGUG
rnacentral:rRNA from 1 species